rnacentral:rRNA from 1 species
GAUCCUGGCUCAGAUUGAACGCUGGCGGCAUGCCUUACACAUGCAAGUCGAACGGUAACAGGUCUUCGGAUGCUGACGAGUGGCGAACGGGUGAGUAAUACAUCGGAACGUGCCCGAUCGUGGGGGAUAACGAAGCGAAAGCUUUGCUAAUACCGCAUAAGAUCUAAGGAUGAAAGCAGGGGACCGCAAGGCCUUGCGCGAACGGAGCGGCCGAUGGCAGAUUAGGUAGUUGGUGGGAUAAAAG